rnacentral:pre_miRNA from 1 species
UGAGGUAGUAGGUUGUAUAGUUUUAGGGUUAUGCCCUGCCUGUCAGAUAACUAUACAAUCUACUGUCUUUC